rnacentral:snoRNA from 1 species
AUUUAAUGAAAGUAUGUGAGGGCAAUUUAUGAGCAUACCCUUAAAUCUCUCUCAAGCUUGGUAGAGAUUCUCUCCUUAUUUCUGUCUAAACCUCAGAAUAUCACUUCUUAAAAC